UACGUAGGGUGCAGGCGUUAAUCGGAAUUACUGGGCGUAAAGCGUGCGCAGGCGGCUUCUCAAGUCAGAUGUGAAAUCCCCGGGCUUAACCUGGGAACUGCGUUUGAAACUGGGAGGCUAGAGUGCGGCAGAGGGGGGUGGAAUUCCACGUGUAGCAGUGAAAUGCGUAGAUAUGCGGAGGAACACCGAUGGCGAAGGCAGUCCCCUGGGCCUGUACUGACGCUCAUGCACGAAAGCGUGGGGAGCAAACAGG
rnacentral:rRNA from 1 species